rnacentral:tRNA from 1 species
UAGGGGGUAGUAUAGUUGGAAGCACUAAGAGUUUUGAUCUCUUCGGCACAGGUUCAAGUCCUGUUCUCCUAA